UACCACUUUUGUGUUGUUUUGUGAGUU
rnacentral:piRNA from 1 species